rnacentral:rRNA from 1 species
GAUGAACGCUGGCGGCGUGCCUAAUACAUGCAAGUCGAGCGAACAGAUGAGGAGCUUGCUCCUCUGACGUUAGCGGCGGACGGGUGAGUAACACGUGGAUAACCUACCUAUAAGACUGGGAUAACUUCGGGAAACCGGAGCUAAUACCGGAUAAUAUAUUGAACCGCAUGGUUCAAUAGUGAAAGACGGUUUUGCUGUCACUUAUAGAUGGAUCCGCGCCGCAUUAGCUAGUUGGUAAGGUAACGGCUUACCAAGGCAACGAUGCGUAGCCGACCUGAGAGGGGAUCCGGCCAAACGGGAACUGGGACACGGCCCAGCCUCCUACGGAGGGCAGCGGUGGGGAUUCUUCCGCAAUGGGCGAAAGCCUGACGAAGCAACGCCGCGUGGGUGAUGAGGGUCUUCGGAUCGUAAAACUCUGUUAUUAGGAAAAAACAAAUGUGUAAGUAACUAUGCACGUCUUAACGGUACCUAAUCAGAAAGCCACGGCUAACUACGU